rnacentral:rRNA from 1 species
UACGUAGGGUGCAGGCGUUAAUCGGAAUUACUGGGCGUAAAGCGUGCGUAGGCGGUUUGUUAAGACAGGUGUGAAAUCCCCGGGCUUAACCUGGGAACUGCGCUUGUUACUGGCAGACUGGAGUGUGGCAGAGGGGGGGUGGAAUUCCAGGUGUAGCAGUGAAAUGCGUAGAUAUCUGGAGGAACACCGAUGGCGAAAGGCAGCCCCCCUGGGCUAACACUGACGCUGAUGCACGAAAGCGUGGGGAGCAA